rnacentral:rRNA from 1 species
UACGUAGGCAGCGAGCGUUUGUUCGGAAUUACUGGGCGUAAAGCGCGCGCAGGCGGUCCUUUAAGUCAGGGGUGAAAGCCCAGAGCUCAACUCUGGAACGGCCUUUGUGACUGCAUGGCUUGAGUACUGAAGAGGAUCGCGGAAUUCCCGGUGUAGAGGUGAAAUUCGUAGAUAUCGGGAGGAACACCAGUGGCGAAGGCGGCGAUCUGGGCAGUUACUGACGCUGAGGUGCGAAAGCGUGGGGAGCAAACAGGG